rnacentral:rRNA from 1 species
UCGGGAAUUUUGGGCAAUGGGCGAAAGCCUGACCCAGCAACGCCGCGUGAAGGAUGAAGUAUUUCGGUAUGUAAACUUCGAAAGAAUAGGAAGAAUAAAUGACGGUACUAUUUAUAAGGUCCGGCUAACUACGUGCCAGCAGCCGCGGUAAUACGUAGGGACCAAGCGUUGUUCGGAUUUACUGGGCGUAAAGGGCGCGUAGGCGGCAAUUCAAGUCAUCUGUGAAAUCUCCGGGCUUAACUCGGAACGGUCAGAUGAUACUGCUUUGCUAGAGUGCAGAAGGGGCAAUCGGAAUUCUUGGUGUAGCGGUGAAAUGCAUAGAUAUCAAGAGGAACACCUGAGGUGAAGACGGGUUGCUGGGCUGACACUGACGCUGAGGCGCGAAAGCCAGGGG